CAAACAUAAUAGGUACCACAGCAUGGGGAAGUCCACACUCUGUUUGAUAAUGAUAAUAGGUACCACAGCGUAUGGAAGUGUGCAAUCUGUUUGAUAAUAGGGUACCACAGCGUGUAGAAGUGCGCACUCUGUUUGAUAAUAGGUACCACAGCGUAUGUAAGUGUGCAAUCUGUUUGAUAAUAGGUACCACAGCAUGGGGAAGUCCACACUCUGUUUGAUAAUGAUAAUAGGUACCACAGCGUGUAGAAGUGCGCACUCUGUUUGAUAAUAGGUACCACACCGUGUGGAAGCGUGCAAUCUGUUUGAUAAUAGCAAAUAUAUAUAACUCCGUAUAAGAUAAAUGUAGGCACGAAUAGAUGGCGACAUACCUUUGGCCUAUACUCGAGUAGAUGGCGGCACCUUUUGAUGUUUAACACAUAAUCAGUGAAAGAACAUGGGUCAAAUAAAUAAUGCCAUUCUAAGAGUUUUAGUCCUGUGUCGCAAGAUGGCAGUAAAUUUACUUGAACUAUUGUCCACUUGUAUUAGGCGUAUUUGCCUUUAUACUCAAUUGUCUUUGAUAAUGGAUACCACAGCGUGUGGAAGUGUGCAGUGCACUCUGUGCUAUCAAACACGGUGCAGAGUUAGCUUAGACGGACUCUACAAAAAAUGUUGUUAAUGCCACGAUUACGUUGAUCUUUCGAGAGUUCGUGGUUUAAAAACGGGUAUAUUGUUGUGCGUUAUUUUAAGUGUUUCUUGAAUGAUACGUCGACACCGUAACAAUGUCUUAUCUCUCCUGUAGGCACUGCAUACUAUGCAGUGGGAACAGUGACAGGCUGGAGUUUUUAAAUGGGGCACUGAGGGUACCUGCUAACUGCUAAGGCCCCGUUCCAAAACGGUAGCAGUACGGGAUUUGGUAGUUAUUAACCUCUGUGCCCCGUUUAACAAAUCCACGCUGUGUAUGUUUGGAUUCAACAUCAUUUUGUGAUGGGGUAAAUCAUUUCAUUUUUAAUUUAUAUCCCCUAUUAGCACUUUUUUGUGAUUAACGUGGCCCUGUGCAUGUAUUUUAAGUGUAAAAUUUAUAGCCAUGCUUGCAAAUGGAUUUCAUAAAACGGAUCAAUUUAUUCGUAGAUACAUUCACAGAUCGGCGUUAGGUGCCAAAAUGAUAGAUACUACUGUUGUUUAUUUCAUUCCAUUCAUGUCAGUCUUUAUAAAUUUGCCUGAAAUAGAUACCUAAUGUCUUAUUUGGCAAACUACUUUCUAACGUAUGUUGAGAUUGUUAAGGCAUAGAUUUGGAAGUUACGUAAGCUUUUGAAAACAAAAAUUGACUGCAACGACACUGAAAUAAAUUAUUUUUAUAUUUCAUCUAAAAUCGCUUUUAGGCUGCAUCUUCAGUCUUCACUGAGACGAGCGGGAAUGUGGAUUUAUUACAAGGAAAUUCCUUGGAGGAAUGUUAUGGCAAUAGCAAUGCAAUCAAUCGCCUCUCAUUUCCACGUCAGUGGUUUUUUUAUACCACUUCGGUGGCAAACAAGCAUACGGCCCGUCUGAUGGUAAGCAGUCGCCGUAUUCUAUGUACAUGCAGCCUUAUUGCGAAAACAUAAGCAAAUUGCGUUUUGAGGCUUCAUGCCACAAACUAGAGAGUAGGUUACCCAAUGAGACUGAAUGGUAUACUUAAAGUGUUUUAAUACCCAUGAGCAAUAUUAUUAUACUAAUGAAAUUAAUUAAUUUAAAAUUUGUUAUGGUAUGAUACUUAGGGCCUGUUUCACAAUGUCCAAGUAAAGUCCUGAAUAAGCUACUUGCCACUUAUGUGAGGAAUAGACAUCGUUGUCGUUUCACAAUUUUCAAAUAACCUUUCACUGGUAGAAAAAGUGCUAAGUUUUACAGAAGUUUUAUCUGGCAGUUAAUUUAUUUGUUAAUUAGCUAUCCAAUACUCUACUUGGACAUUGUGAAACAGGCCCUUACUUGAAAAUAUUAACAAGCUGGAUGUUUAUACAUUUUUACAUUGCCCUUUUAUUAAAAGCUAAAAUAUUA